UGUCUUUUACAAAACCUUCAAUCAAAUGUUAUGUCCUUUUUCUAAUACAUCACGAGUUAUUGCGCGGAAAAUUUGGGAAAUCAAUUUCAGUCCAAGUAAUUAAAUCAGUGAAGCAAAUCUAGGCAGCUCCUUCAAGGUCUUGAGUGCAAAGAAGUGAGUUAUAAUUGAAGAAGAUUUUAUCCAAAAUACAGCAGUGCCAAAUACAUUCAGAAAAUAUCAAAUGAUUUACUGUGAUUUUGUGAAAAGUAACCAUUCUUGUAGUCUGAAUAUAAGUUCAUGGGUAGGUAUUCAGUAAUCAGUUCAAUUUCAGAAGGCUUAAAAAUAAAAAAAACCUAACCAGUGCAACAAGUCAUACAAGACUCAUAAUCCAGCACUCUUAGUCUAAAUAUAGCAUUUUUUAUUUUUUAGCAGCAAAAUCCAUCAUCAUAUCAAAAUCUAAUGCUAACCAUUCAUUUUAACAAUUCUAACUCACCACAUAAAGAUUAAAAUCAAUCAAAAGUACUAGAUACUGAAUUGUGCAGAUACCCACUUGAAAAAUUCAGUCAUACGAAAAAUGAUUUAUUGCGAACAAGAACAAAUAACCUAAAAUUGAAUAUAAAAAGCAGAAACAUAACAGUGCUUGAAUAUGAGGGUGAGUGGAGAAAGAGUGAAUCAACAUACCAACAACGCUGGAUCCACCCGAACCUAAGGUCAUUGAGAUAUUUGCGGAACAGAGUUGACAAAUCCAAUUUGAUCUAAAAGCUUGAAUGACCGGAGACCACGACGCAGUAGGGAGAUUUUAGGGAAGGGCAGAGAGCAAGAGUCGCGCAAUAUUUUCUUGUUUGAACCAAAAUCGCACUUUUGUGACUGAAGUUGCAUUUGAGCAAAUUUCUCUUGAAAGUCAGAGCUGCAAUGCGACUUAGUCAAUUUAAA
rnacentral:lncRNA from 1 species